AGAGUUUGAUCCUGGCUCAGGAUGAACGCUGGCGGCGUGCUUAACACAUGCAAGUCGAACGGUGAAGCAGAGCUUGCUCUGUGGAUCAGUGGCGAACGGGUGAGUAACACGUGAGCAACCUGCCCCGGACUCUGGGAUAAGCGCUGGAAACGGCGUCUAAUACCGGAUACGAGACAAGACGGCAUCGUCAUUGUCUGGAAAGAUUUUUUGGUCUGGGAUGGGCUCGCGGCCUAUCAGCUUGUUGGUGAGGUAAUGGCUCACCAAGGCGUCGACGGGUAGCCGGCCUGAGAGGGUGACCGGCCACACUGGGACUGAGACACGGCCCAGACUCCUACGGGAGGCAGCAGUGGGGAAUAUUGCACAAUGGGCGAAAGCCUGAUGCAGCAACGCCGCGUGAGGGAUGACGGCCUUCGGGUUGUAAACCUCUUUUAGCAGGGAAGAAGCGAAAGUGACGGUACCUGCAGAAAAAGCGCCGGCUAACUACGUGCCAGCCGCCGCGGUAAUUC
rnacentral:rRNA from 1 species